ACAUGCAAGUCGAACGCUUCUUUUUCCACCGGAGCUUGCUCCACCGGAAAAAGAGGAGUGGCGAACGGGUGAGUAACACGUGGGUAACCUGCCCAUCAGAAGGGGAUAACACUUGGAAACAGGUGCUAAUACCGUAUAACAAUCGAAACCGCAUGGUUUUGAUUUGAAAGGCGCUUUCGGGUGUCGCUGAUGGAUGGACCCGCGGUGCAUUAGCUAGUUGGUGAGGUAACGGCUCACCAAGGCGACGAUGCAUAGCCGACCUGAGAGGGUGAUCGGCCACAUUGGGACUGAGACACGGCCCAAACUCCUACGGGAGGCAGCAGUAGGGAAUCUUCGGCAAUGGACGAAAGUCUGACCGAGCAACGCCGCGUGAGUGAAGAAGGUUUUCGGAUCGUAAAACUCUGUUGUUAGAGAAGAACAAGGAUGAGAGUAACUGUUCAUCCCUUGACGGUAUCUAACCAGAAAGCCACGGCUAACUACGUGCCAGCAGCCGCGGUAAUACGUAGGUGGCAAGCGUUGUCCGGAUUUAUUGGGCGUAAAGCGAGCGCAGGCGGUUUCUUAAGUCUGAUGUGAAAGCCCCCGGCUCAACCGGGGAGGGUCAUUGGAAACUGGGAGACUUGAGUGCAGAAGAGGAGAGUGGAAUUCCAUGUGUAGCGGUGAAAUGCGUAGAUAUAUGGAGGAACACCAGUGGCGAAGGCGGCUCUCUGGUCUGUAACUGACGCUGAGGCUCGAAAGCGUGGGGAGCAAACAGGAUUAGAUACCCUGGUAGUCCACGCCGUAAACGAUGAGUGCUAAGUGUUGGAGGGUUUCCGCCCUUCAGUGCUGCAGCUAACGCAUUAAGCACUCCGCCUGGGGAGUACGACCGCAAGGUUGAAACUCAAAGGAAUUGACGGGGGCCCGCACAAGCGGUGGAGCAUGUGGUUUAAUUCGAAGCAACGCGAAGAACCUUACCAGGUCUUGACAUCCUUUGACCACUCUAGAGAUAGAGCUUCCCCUUCGGGGGCAAAGUGACAGGUGGU
rnacentral:rRNA from 1 species